AUUGAACGCUGGCGGAAUGCUUUACACAUGCAAGUCGAACGGUAGAGGGGGCAACCCCUCGAGAGUGGCGAACGGGUGAGUAAUAUAUCGGAACGUGCCCAGUCGUGGGGGAUAACGUAGCGAAAGUUACGCUAAUACCGCAUACGAUCUAAGGAUGAAAGCGGGGGAUCGCAAGACCUCGCGCGAUUGGAGCGGCCGAUAUCAGAUUAGGUAGUUGGUGGGGUAAAGGCUCACCAAGCCAACGAUCUGUAGCUGGUCUGAGAGGACGACCAGCCACACUGGAACUGAGAAACGGUCCAGACUCCUACGGGAGGCAGCAGUGGGGAAUUUUGGACAAUGGACGCAAGUCUGAUUCAGCCAUUCCGCGUGCAGGAUGAAGGCCCUCGGGUUGUAAACUGCUUUUGUACGGAACGAAAAGGUCUCUCUUAAUACGGGGGACUCAUGACGGUACCGUAAGAAUAAGCACCGGCUAACUACGUGCCAGCCGCCGCCGUAA
rnacentral:rRNA from 1 species